GUGGGGAAUAUUGCACAAUGGGCGCAAGCCUGAUGCAGCCAUGCCGCGUGUGUGAAGAAGGCCUUCGGGUUGUAAAGCACUUUCAGCGGGGAGGAAGGCGUUAAGGUUAAUAACCUUGGCGAUUGACGUUACCCGCAGAAGAAGCACCGGCUAACUCCGUGCCAGCAGCCGCGGUAAUACGGAGGGUGCAAGCGUUAAUCGGAAUUACUGGGCGUAAAGCGCACGCAGGCGGUCUGUCAAGUCGGAUGUGAAAUCCCCGGGCUCAACCUGGGAACUGCAUUCGAAACUGGCAGGCUAGAGUCUUGUAGAGGGGGGUAGAAUUCCAGGUGUAGCGGUGAAAUGCGUAGAGAUCUGGAGGAAUACCGGUGGCGAAGGCGGCCCCCUGGACAAAGACUGACGCUCAGGUGCGAAAGCGUGGGGAGCAAACAGGA
rnacentral:rRNA from 1 species